rnacentral:rRNA from 1 species
CUCAGAACGAACGCUGGCGGCAUGCCUAACACAUGCAGUCGAGCGAGAAAGCCCUCCGGGGUGAGUAAAGCGGCGCACGGGUGAGUAACACGUGGGUAAUCUGCCCUUGAGUUUGGGACACCCUUCGAAAGAAGGGCUAAUACCGGAGAGACCACAGGAACAUAAGUUCCCGGGGUUAAAGGCGGCGCAAGCUGUCGCUCAAGGAUGAGCUCGCGGUCUAUUAGCUUGUUGGUGAGGUAAUGGCUCACCAAGGCUGUGAUGGAUAUCUGGUUUGAGAGGAUGAUCAGACACACUGGAACUGAGACACGGUCCAGACUCCUACGGGAGGCAGCAGUGGGGAAUUUUGGACAAUGGGCGCAAGCCUGAUCCAGCAAUGCCGCGUGAGGGAGGACGGUUUUCGGAUUGUAAAUCUCUGUCGGCAGGGACAAACGACUGGAUGGCAAAUAGUCAUUCGGAGUGAUGGUACCUGCAAAGGAAGGGGCGGCUAACUCUGUGCCAGCAGCCGCGGUAAUACAGAGGCCCCAAGCGUUGUUCGGAAUUAUUGGGCGUAAAGCGGGUGUAGGUGGCUAUGCAAGUCGGAUGUGAAAUCCCUGGGCUCAACUCAGGACGUGCGUUCGAUACUGCGUGGCUAGAGUACGGUAGAGGAAAGUGGAAUUCCUAGUGUAGGGGUGAAAUCCGUAGAUAUUAGGAGGAAUACCAAAGGCGAAGGCAGCUUUCUGGCCCGUAACUGACACUCAGACCCGAAAGCGUGGGUAGCAAACAGGAUUAGAUACCCUGGUAGUCCACGCCGUAAACGAUGGAUGCUUGUCGUUGGAGGAUUGAAANCUUCAGUGACGGAGUUAACGCGUUAAGCAUCCCGCCUGGGGAGUACGGUCGNCAGAUUACACCUCAAAGAAAUUGACGGGGACCCGC